GGCUGGUCCGACGGUAGUGGGUUAUCAGAACUUAUUAACAUUAGUGUCACUAAACUUCGUAUUCAACCCCCCACUGCUAAAUUUGACUGGCUUUUA
ensembl:misc_RNA Y_RNA Y RNA